GUAAAGAGAGUAGUGAUAAAGUGGGCUCGUGUGAGUGGGGGUGUGCAGCUCUGAGGAUUGAAGGUGGUGCGUUUGGCCCAGAUGGUGGCGCCCCCUGUUGCUGUGGCUGUCCUGUGAUCAACAUAAAUGGAUGGAGGGAAAUCCAACGAGUGUUUGUGACGUCACGGUGUUUGGUGAUUCUUUGCUCGGGAGCCUCCGAUCCAGAACCUGUCAGCACCUACCGCCAAGCCUCGGCAACUCAGCUUAAUUUUUCUAACUCCUUCUUAUCUACAUAGAGAUCUGGCCCAGGUGAGGCAUGCCUCAUGUGAACCGUGCCAUCACUGCCAGAUCUUUCCUGAGUCUGGCUGACAUCCAAUUUGCCAUGCCAGAGGUUUGCCAGAUGUGUCAGCAGAAUGCCAGAUCCGGUUCAGGUCGGUCUGCUGUGUGGGAACCGGCAAAGGCUCGCUCCUCUGGUCACCGUUUGCUCGAUUACCUGUCCGCCCUCCAACACCACCUCCACCAGCGAUCUACACCAAACUCUGAGACUCCACACGCCACCAACAAGCAGCCUCGACUCCAGCAGCCCCCACCGCUUCUUCCUCCCUGGCAGGUUAACUGCAUUUCAUCAAGAUGCAGUCGAUCCUAUACAGUGGACUCCGGGACAAGAUUCACAUUUCAUUCAAUUCUCUGGACAAAAUAAACUGUAUUGAACUGA